rnacentral:rRNA from 1 species
AUUGAACGCUGGCGGCGUGCCUAACACAUGCAAGUCGAGCGGUAACAGGUGUAGCAAUACAUGCUGACGAGCGGCGAACGGGUGAGUAAUGCUUCGGAAUCUACCCAAUGGUGGGGAAUAACCAGCCGAAAGGUUGGCUAAUACCGCAUACGUCCCACGGGAGAAAGCAGGGGAUCGCAAGACCUUGCGCCAAUGGAUGAGCCGAAGUCGGAUUAGCUAGNGGUAGGGUAACGGCCUACCAAGGCGACGAUCCGUAGCUGGUCUGAGAGGACGACCAGCCACACUGGGACUGAGACACGGCCCAGACUCCUACGGGAGCAGCAGUGGGGAAUAUUGGACAAUGGGGGAAACCCUGAUCCAGCGACGCCGCG